rnacentral:rRNA from 1 species
AUGAAGCUAUGGGAGAGAGUCAUUGAGCACCGCUUAAGAAGAAUGACAAGCAUGACCAAAAAUCAGUUUGGUUUCAUGCCUGGGAGGUCGACCAUGGAAGCCAUUUUCUUGGUACGACAACUUAUGGAGAGAUAUAGGGAGCAGAAGGACUUGCAUAUGGUGUUCAUUGACUUGGAGAAGGCCUAUGAUAAGAUACCGCGGAAUGUCAUGUGGUGGGCCUUGGAGAAACACAAAGUCCCAGCAAAAUACAUUACCCUCAUCAAGGACAUGUACGAUAAUGUUGUGACAAGUGUUCGAACAAGUGAUGUCGACACUGAUGACUUCCCGAUUAUGAUAGGACUGCAUCAGGGGUCAGCUUUGAGCCCUUAUCUUUUUGCAUUGGUGAUGGAUGAGGUCACAAGGGAUAUACAAGGAGAUAUCCCAUGUUGUAUGCUCUUUGUGAAUGAUGUGGUGCUAGUUGACGAUAGUCGGACGGGGGUAAAUAGGAAGCUAGAGUUAUGGAGACAAACCUUGGAAUCAAAAGGGUUUAGGCUUAGUAGAACUAAAACCGAGUACAUGAUGUGCGGUUUCAGUACUACUAGGUGUGAGGAGGAGGAGGUUAGCCAUGGCCAGGUGGUACCCCAGAAGGACACCUUUCGGUAUUUGGGGACAAUGCUGCAGGAGGAUGGGGGUAUUGAUGAAGAUGUGAACCAUCGAUUCAAAGCCGGAUGGAUGAAGUGGCGCCAAGCUUCUGGCAUUCUUUGUGACAAGAGAGUGCCACAAAAGCUAAAAGGCAAGUUCUACAGGACGGCGGUUCGACCUGCAAUGUUGUAUGGCGCUGAGUGUUGGCCGACUAAAAGGCGACAUGUUCAACAGUUAGGUGUGGCGGAGAUGCGUAUGUUGAGAUGGAUGUGUGGCCACACGAGGAAGGAUCGAGUCCGGAAUGAUGAUAUACGAGAUAGAGUUGGGGUAGCACCAAUUGAAGAGAAGCUUGUCCAACAUCGUCUGAGAUGGUUUGGGCAUAUUCAGCGCAGGCCUCCAGAAGCUCCAGUGCAUAGCAGACAGCUAAAGCGUGCGGAGAAUGUCAAGAAAGGGCGGGGUAGACCGAAUUUGACAUGGGAGGAGUCCGUUAAGAGAGACCUGAAGGAUUGGAGUAUCACCAAAGAGCUAGCUAUGGACAGGGGUGCGUGGAAGCUUGCAAUCCACGUGCCAGAGCCAUGA